rfam:Schistosoma curassoni strain Dakar, Senegal genome assembly, scaffold: SCTD_contig0002088
GCACUGCUGAGGAGUCGCAUAAUAGGACGAAAUGGCCGUCCAGUGC